GACGAACGCUGGCGGCGCGCCUAACACAUGCAAGUCGAGCGAUGAAAUUUUAACCGAUCUCUUCGGAGAGAAGAGAAAAUGGAUUAGCGGCGGACGGGUGAGGAACACGUGAGAAACCUGCCUUUCACAAGGGGAUAGCCUCGGGAAACCGGGAUUAAUACUCUAUGACACAUCUCCUUCGCAUGGAAGAAAGGGUAAAACUCCGGUGGGGAAAGUGGGUCGCGCGCCGGAUGCGCUAGGUGGCGGGGUAACGGCCCCCCAAGGCCAUGAUCAGUACCCGGCCUGUGGGGGUGAACCCUCACAUUGACGCUGGGCCACGGUCCGAACUCCUACGGGAGGCAGCAGUGGGUAAUCUUGCACUAUGGCGUGAACUCUGAUGGCGCUCCGCCGCGUGAGCGAUGUUGUCGUUCGAGUCGUAAAGCUCUGUCCUAUGGGAAGAUAAUGACGGUACCAUAGGAGGAAGCCCCGGCUAACUACGUG
rnacentral:rRNA from 1 species